AAAAGAAAAUCCCGCCCAACGGUAUCUGACUCCUUUACAUCCCCAACUAAGCAAGUGCAAGGUGCAGCUCAGCUCGAUUGACAGACCAAAUCCAUCUAUGGAUAUCCUGUUGUCAAGUCUUUUGCUGUGGACUCUAGUGUUUGUGGUGUGAAUGAUGCUGUGAAUGUGGCCCUGUAAAGCAUGCCCCUCAGUUCUACCAAGAUGACAUUGAUACUACCACGGAGAGUCUCAUAAGAGGACUCUGCAUUUUCCUCAUCGAGGACCCUGAUGACCUUAUGCAGGAGUACAUGGACAUGACUAAUUCUACUACACCGCAGUGCCAUAGAAGCAACAACUGUUGGAAUCUACAUAUCUAGAGGAACUCCCAACAGUGACAAUAAGUGCAAUGUGUGCAUCAAACUCCAUUUAUAAUAUAAUGCUGUUCUACAACGGAUGUAAAAUGUGCCAUUUUGACAGUUCGUCCAGGUUAUAGAAUAUAAUGUGUGGGUAGGGAGGGGUGGUGGGAUCUGAUACCAGUUUUGUUGUACGUAUUGGAGCAAUGUGUGCAUCAAUACACCAUUUAUAAUGUAAUGCUGUGCCAGUUUGACUGUUCUUCCAGGUUAUAAAAUAAAAUGACCGCACCAAUGAGCCAAUGCAAUAAUUGUUAAUGAGCGUUUCCAUUUAAAAACAAACUGACAUUUCAUGUGUGUGGGGGUCCAGAUACCAGUUUUGUUGAACGUUUUGGUGCAAAUUCUUUUUAAUCAAUACACCAUUUAUAAUGGCUGUAAAAUGUGCCAUUUUAACUUUUUGCAAGUCAUUGAAUAAAAGCUUUUAUUGUGUCAAAAUGUUUUCUAAAUGUUAACUUAUUUGGUGGGGGGAAAGUGGGUAACAAGAUGUUGAAAAUAGAUUGUAGAAUACAACUUAAUUUGCAUUUAAAAUUUGGUUUUAAUUUAGAAUAAGGUUUAUUUUUUGAGUAACAUUUAUUUUUGAAAUUUUUAAUGAUAUUAAAGUAUUAACAUUAUCAAGGUGUCAUGACUGAGUUGUGCUGAAGUCAAAUGACAAAAGUGAAAUGAUAGAAGAACUUAAUUUAUUCAAACAUAUUUUAAUCAUUUUGUAGUAACAUAAAAUACUUGUGUUUACUGAAUAUAACAACUUUGUGUUAAAUGAACACAACAGUGUAGAUUGCUGCCAAAGUAAAAACUUUGUGUGCAACCAAUGUCCACUAUUGAAUUGAGUAAAUCCAAUGCAUUAUUUUUUUCAGUGUACCACAGCCGGUGUCUGCGUAAAACACGCAGCAUCAUCAAGGACCACACUCACCUAGCUGAAGGACUUUUCCGGCAGGUGUUACAGGUGCCUACCAGCACUUACAAAAAGAAAGACAGUUAUUGUCCACAAGCUGUCAGACUACUGAACUCUGGACAAUAAUACUGCACCAAACCACAUUUGUGACACUUUAUUAGCUUAUUGUUGCUGCACGAUGUGUACUUUUUAAUUGAACACCAUUAUUACUUUUGUUUUUAUAGUGAGUUAAAUGGUUCGUCUUAUCCCAGCCAUUUCAUUGCAUUGUUGACUGUGUGUUAACCUGCAAAUGACAAAUAAACCACUACAAUACAAUACAA